rnacentral:rRNA from 1 species
AAACGUCUCAGUUCGGAUUGUAGUCUGCAACCCGACUACAUGAAGCUGGAAUCGCUAGUAAUCGCGGAUCAGAAUGCCGCGGUGAAUACGUUCCCGGGUCUUGUACACACCGCCCGUCACACCAUGGGAGUUGGUAACGCCCGAAGUCAGUGACCCAACCAAAUAGGAGGGAGCUGCCGAAGGCGGGACUGAUAACUGGGGUGAAGUCGUAACAAGGUACC